UACGAAGGGGGCGAGCGUUGUUCGGAAUCACUGGGCGUAAAGGGCGCGUAGGCGGCCCUCUUAGUCGCGUGUGAAAGCCCCGGGCUCAACCUGGGAACGGCGCGCGAAACGGGAGGGCUGGAGUUCGGGAGAGGAGAGUGGAAUUCCUGGUGUAGCGGUGAAAUGCGCAGAUAUCAGGAAGAACACCAAUGGCGAAGGCAGCUCUCUGGGACGGUACUGACGCUGAGACGCGAAAGCUAGGGGAGCAAACGGG
rnacentral:rRNA from 1 species